rnacentral:rRNA from 1 species
AGCUCCAAUAGCGUAUAUUAAAGUUGCUGCAGUUAAAAAGCUCGUAGUUGCAUUUCCGAGGCAAGGGAUUAGUCCGACCUUUGGUGGGUAUUUAAUCCUCUUGCCUCGUCCUUGAGUGGUGCUUCUUGGUAUUAAGUUAUCGAGGAGAUAGCCGCUCAUCGUUUACUGUGAGAAAAUUAGAGUGUUCAAAGCAGGCUUAUGCCGUUGAAUAUAUUAGCAUGGAAUAAUAAGAUAGGACCUCGGUACUAUUUUGGUUGUUUGAGAACCAAGGUAAUGAUGAAUAGGGACAGUUGGGGGUAUUCGUAUUCAGUUGUCAGAGGUGAAAUUCUUAGAUUUACGGAAGACGAACUACUGCGAAAGCAUUUACCAAGGAUGUUUUCA